rnacentral:lncRNA from 1 species
AUUACAAACAUUUAUUAUAUUUCCAUCGUGAAUCCUCCAUGUGUUGCUCACUUGCUCUCAUUAUUUAAUUAAGUCCACACGACAUUAUUCAUCAAUAUGUAACUGUACGUGUUUAUAAUAAAUUCAUAUCUGGUCCGUUAAGUAAAUUAACGCCCAGUAAUAAGGUUAGGUCAAACUUAAAUUGUAAUCACACGUGGUUCACGGUAUGUUCUGCUUCCACUUGGUGUAUAAAAUAGGUGAAACUUGACCUCUAACGACUUACAUCUCGCCAAGAAAAGAAUAAGGAAAGGUGACUAUCAAAAUGAAUAAUGAGAUCAAUCUUGGCUUAUAAGAUUAUCCAUCUACAUCUACCGCCACCAUUCUCACUAGUGACGUGCCACCU